AAUGUACUCCCUCCGUCCGGAAAUACUUGUCAAAGGAAUGAAUGUAUCUAGACGUAUUUUAAUUCUAGAUACAUUAAUUUUUAUGCAUUUCUCCGACAAGUAUUUUCGGACGGAAGGAGUAUAAA
rfam:Triticum aestivum genome assembly, contig: Triticum_aestivum_CS42_TGACv1_scaffold_080328_1DS